rnacentral:lncRNA from 1 species
UGGAGACCGACUCAACAUCGAUCAGUGCCAACCUUUCUAGGGUGGCCUGAUAUCUUCCACAUUCGGCUUCAAGUUUAUCAAUGCACCCAUCCCUCUCUCGUUGAAGCUGAUGGAUGGAGUGCUUUUUGCUCUUGAUCCGUGAUUCAAGAGACAAGAUACUCUGACAAGCCGACUCAAGUUUGGCUCCGGAGGAUUAUAGAUCGGCGGUCAAAUGGGAGACUUCUUCCUAAAGCUUUGCCUCCUGUUCAGUCAUCGCCUGGAGUUGUUCAAGGGCAGCCAUUUUCUCAACAUUGAAGGCUGCCACUUUGUCUAUCUAGGAUUGACGGAAGUCAAUAAUCUUCCGAUAGCUAACCUCCAGAUUGUGCAUGUCAUGUGCCCACUGAAAGCAGAAGAUAAG